UCCCUUACUCCUACGGGAGGCAGCAGUAGGGAAUCUUCCACAAUGGACGCAAGUCUGAUGGAGCAAUGCCGCGUGAGUGAAGAAGGGUUUCGGCUCGUAAAACUCUGUUGUCGGAGAAGAACGGGUGUCAGAGUAACUGUGACAUCGUGACGGUAUCAACCAGUAGCCUGCUGC
rnacentral:rRNA from 1 species